CAUUAAUGAAGUAAUGCUGCCCUGUCAGACCUCAUCUGCAGUCCUGUGCAGAGAGAAUGAAACCCCUUCCAUUGACCCCCGGUGUAUUUAUAGGCUGUCUCUCACACUCUCUCUCUGCUGAGGCUGGUAGUUAUCACCUUCCCAUCCCUGUGUUGUAUUUAUUCAGCAGCAUGCUAUAUCACCCCCGCGCACAAGGAGAGCAUUCAUCAGGAACUACCAGGAGCCCCUCUUUCAGGCGGCCAAACCUAUCCAAUUACAGGGGUGCCCAAAAACCCUUCUGCAAGGGGCGCAUCCUAUCGAGAUAUAAAGGAUGAUAGGAAAGACAGAGACUUUGGCACCACACAGACAUGGGUCUGAAUUCAAUUUUCCUUCAGAAAGGAGGGGACAAUACCCACCCGAAGAAGGGCUCUGAGGAGGACAUCAAAUGUAUGAUCUACAUACACAUUGGAAAUACAAAGGUGGUUUUGUUCCACCCUCCUUCCUUUUCAAGCCCUAUACCUCAUCAGAGGAAAUCAUAGCAAUCCUGUACUUGGUAGACUCAAACAAGACUAGUGCCAUAGCACAGAUUUUAUUCAUUACAUUUAGAAACAUGCUUUCCACAGAG
rnacentral:lncRNA from 1 species